rnacentral:rRNA from 1 species
UGAGGAAUAUUGGACAAUGGGCGCAAGCCUGAUCCAGCCAUGCCGCGUGCAGGAAGAAGCAUCUAUGGUGUGUAAACUGCUUUUGUACGGGAAGAAACACUCCUUCGUGAAGGAUCUUGACGGUACCGUAAGAGUAAGGAUCGGCUAACUCCGUGCCAGCAGCCGCGUUAAUACGGAGGAUCCAAGCGUUAUCCGGAAUCAUUGGGUUUAAAGGGUCCGUAGGCGGUUUAGUAAGUCAGUGGUGAAAGCCCAUCGCUCAACGAUGGAACAGCCAUUGAUACUGCUAGACUUGAAUUAUUAGGAAGUAACUAGAAUAUGUAGUGUAGCAGUAAAAUGCUUAGAUAAUACGUGGAAUACCAAUUGCGAAGGCAGGUUACUACUAAUGGAUUGACGCUGAUGGACGAAAACGUGGGGAGCGAGCA